UAUCUCAGCCAGCAAAAGAUGUUCCGGACAUCGACGACAGCAACAAUCUUUAUUCACUUGAUCCAUCGGUCGUGAAGGAAUUGGAGACGGAUGACUAAAUUCCUUGUCCGAUAUGGCUAGUAAAGAUUGGCCUGGAAACCCGUGAAUGGGAACACAAAUGAAAAUCGAAAAAGAUCCGAUCUUUACUCCAGGGAAUAUUAUUACCUUUCGCCUGCAUCUACAUUGUUUCGGCAAAGGAUUUAAAUUUGUUUGCCUCAUCUCGAGUUCUAUUUUGGUAACAAAAAAUAUUUCGAGGAGCCUUCGACUUAUGUGAAACUGGUUUUGGUAGCGGCACUGGUAGUGGCAAAACUGCUCAUGGCCCUCCAUCGGGGUUGUUUGCCAGUGAGGUUUUGGAUCCAACGGAUAGAACCAACGUCUGGUACAACGCAACAAUCAGCCCGCUAGAGAUCGAUGGACCAACUCUCCGUACGCCGUGCAUGCAGUAUAGUCCGUUGCAAAAUUUUCAUCUUUACCUGAAUCAUAUAACGUAUUAAUCACAAUCUACAAGUAUCAGGCGAGGAAGGCGAUAAGAUGCAAACGGCACUGAACAAUUGUGUACCAGGCAGUAGGCAAGAUAUCCAUUUGCGCCGAAUAUCCCACGGAACUGAAGUGCAAAUUAUUUUGCAAAACUUGAAAUUCCAGAAGGCCACAACAAUAAUAAUAACAACAUCAAAAGUAAUAUGGGCUCUACUGAUGAGGAGAUGGAGGUGGCGAACAAUUCCCAAAAGUGGUGCAUCAGUGGUUUUUAGCAGCCGAAUGUUUAACGGAUAUAAGAUUCUGCCACAACCGAUGUAUACAAAAACCGACGUAGUGGGAUAUUUUAAUUUGAACAUAUUGAUCCGAGUAUUCCACUGGAAAAGCUAUAAGCAAAAGUUUUAAAUUUUCACAGAAAUAUUUUCGCUAUGAUUGGAAAUCACUAGAGUAAUCCGGUUGUUCUACCAUCCACUAUUAUACCUCAACAUCUGUAUUUUAAUUGUUAUUUGUAAUAAACAUCAACUAUAGUUAUGUAUAAUUAUUAUUUGAAAUUACUUUAUUUUUUAAUAUGAUAAAUCAUGAGUAAAAAUAUAUAUUGAUGUUGUAAGAAUUUCAUAAAGCAAACGUAUGAAAUUUCAUAAGGUUGCUCAAUGAAAUUAGUAAGGCAAACAUAAGAUUAACGUAAAUGUUUCUUAUGGACCUGA